rnacentral:tRNA from 1 species
AGCCCCGUCGUCUAGCGGUCCCUUAUAUUAAGCCGCAAAAGGAUAGGGCCCUCUGGAGGCUCUGGCGGCAGUUCGAAUCUGCCCGGGGCUA